rnacentral:rRNA from 1 species
AGCGAACGCUGGCGGCAGGCCUAACACAUGCAAGUCGAACGAACCUUUCGGGGUUAGUGGCGGACGGGUGAGUAACACGUGGGAACGUGCCUUUAGGUUCGGAAUAACUCAGGGAAACUUGUGCUAAUACCGAAUGUGCCCUUCGGGGGAAAGAUUUAUCGCCUUUAGAGCGGCCCGCGUCUGAUUAGCUAGUUGGUUGAGGUAAUGGCUCACCAAGGCGACGAUCAGUAGCUGGUCUGAGAGGAUGAUCAGCCACAUUGGGACUGAGACACGGCCCAAAACCAUAGGGGAGGGAAGAGGGGGGAAUUUUGGGAAAGGGGAGAAAGCCGGACGCAGCCAUGCCGGGGGAAAGAAGAAGGGUUUAGGAUUGAAAAAUUCUUUCCCCGGGGAGGAUAAGGAGGGGACCCGGAGAAGAAGCCCCGGAUAACUUCGU